UACUAAUAUAUAAUUAUCAUAUAUAAAUAUAAAUAUCAGAAUUCAUAUAUUUCUUCUUCAGUAUAGUAAUAGAAAUAAUUUAAAUAAUAAAAAGUAAAUAUAU
rnacentral:rRNA from 1 species